GGCGGGGACUCUGUGGUGGAGCCGGUGGCCUCUGGACCCCCGGGUCUCGGCUCCUGCGCUCUAGCUGUGGCCACGGGCACGGUGCCAUCCUCACCUCUCCGUCUGCAGCCUGAAGACGAUGACUUCUUAGUGUUGUGGACUAGCCUGUGAGCAAGGACGCAGAAGAUGAAUUAUCAAGAAUGAUUCAAAGGACCUGAAAGGAAACUUCCAAACCUUAGAAGGUUACAAUAUAACAGCCCUGGGCAUAGGUUGCCCUAAUAAUGUCUUCCAAACUAAGUCCAGUGCAAGAAACUUUAUUUCACUUCCUAAAGAGAGAUUGAGGAAAGGAGAGAGAGAAAAACAGAGGUGGUGCUGGAGCAGCGAGCCUCCUUCACAUCCCCACUGGGGAUCGAGCCUGCAACCCGACAUGUGCUCUGAUCCGGAAUCAAACUAGUGACCUUUUGGUGCAUGGGACUAAGCUCAACCAACUGUGCCACACUGGCCAGGGCUCAGCCUUCUCUUUUAUGGUGAGUUCUGUUUGGAAAUCUUUGCAAUCAUGAUACUAUCCUCCUAUGCUUUCUUCUAGAAGCUUUUCUUUUCUCUUUCACAUUUAGGUCUAUGAUCCACCUCAAAUGCAUGCAUUUCUUUAAAAAAAAAACACAACUCAAAAUUCAGUUUUUCAGAGACUCGCUCAUUCAUUCAUUCAUUCAUUCUAUCAAUCACUUAUUCAUUUAACAGAAUUUUUAGUCACCUAUCAUAAACCAGGCAAUUGUGGGAGAACAAAAGCAAUUAGAGUCAACAUGUAAGGCACUUGUUGGCCAGCAGGGGAAAGGGUGAGACUUGCACUUAAACAACAUCUAGAAAGUAGUAAUUUAGUUGGAAAAUAUGAGAUGGCCUAAUUAUUCAGAUGUGCUGCCCAGAGUCAUUUUCUCUUUGAACACAGGCAGAUAGAUUACAUUUCCUACAUGCCAGUGAUCCUGUCUUUCUCAUCCUUCAUUGGCCCCCAUGUCCUCCAAGUAAAAGUCGUAGUCCCUGUGCUUGGUACAUGAGGUGUCCCACCAUCUGGCCCCUCCUCACUCCUGACCCUCAUCUUCUAGACCCCUCCAUCUCCAUCCCACAGCCUCUGCACAGACACCUGAACUCCUGACCAGAGCGAGCUGUUCAUCCUGCCAGCUCUUUGUCUCUGCUUUCCUUCUGCCUGGAUUCCUCCCAUGACACUGAUGUCUGAAUAUCUGCUCACUGCUCCAGCACCACCUCUGUGAAGCCUCCCCUGGUUCCUUUCUGCCUCAUUGUUUGUGCCUUGAAGUCUACCUCUGGAGCCAGACUGCAUUUCUCAUGGUGACCAAGACACGGAAACAACCAACGUGUCCUGUGAUAGAGGACUGGAUGAGGAAGAUGUGGUUCAUAUACACAAUGGAAUUCUACUCAGCUAUUAGAAAGGAUGAAAUAGCGCCAUUUGCAACAACAUGGAUGGACUUUGAAAACACUACGCUAAGUGAAAUAAAGCUUCCUGGUCACGUACUCCACCCACCUGGAGCAUAACAAGGAAGGCUCGAGGAUAGGAUGGACUGUCUUGUGGUGCUUUGAAGAAAGGCGCAUGCGUCUUAGCUCCUGCGGCAUUUUGAGCUCGUUACCCUGGCCUGUGUAUGAAGUGCGAUGGAAUUAAGGUACAAGAAAAGUCAGAUAUCAUGGGAACUGACCUUUGGUGCUUUUGAAACUGAGAAAAAAGGAUUUGUUGUGCCAAGCUUCCUCAUCAGUCUGGUAUUUCACCUCUCAUCUUAAACAAGGUAAACAAACCACCACGGACAUAUUUUUCUUCCCCGCAGAACUGCACCCUUUUCAUGAUUAGGUCUGGGUGCUGUUUGGCAAUGGGAAUUGAGUAGAAUGGAGGUGGGGAAGCAUUUUUUCAUUCCGCCCUCUUCUCAAAUAUUUAAAGUAGAAUAACGAGUAGGUGAGUGACUAUCAUUGUCACAACCCUUUUCCACUCCUGCCACCUGAAUACGGACAUCAAUCACCCUUUUCUUCGGCCACCACAGAUGGCAUUUCCUGAUGUGCCCUGCAAGACCGGAGGUGCCGAGACCUCUGGGGGAGAGUCUGAGGAAGAUGGGAUGGUCUUCAUUCUGUCAUCUUUAGGGUCCGGGUUUUUUUUUUUUAUGAGAUCUGUAAGCUUUGCAUGAAAUGGGAGGACAGAAGAGGUUCUGAGGGACCAAUAGGGGAAGAGCUAGGCUAGAGAUCACAGAUGGCAGGAACCUGCAUGGGAAUUUUGUGUGUUGUCAUUGGGGUCCAUGUGAACUGUCUUCCUCAUCUUCCCAGGAGAUCCUCAGUAAAAUAAAUAUCCAUUUCUUGUUGGUACAUUAUUGAGUUGAAUCUGUUUGUUGAGGGAAUUCAUUCAUUCAACAGAUAUUUAUUGAGAACCUGAACCUGCCUGCAGUGUUCUAGAUGCUGAGGAUAAAGUAGUGAGUAAAACAUACCCAAC